GUGUUGAAAGCGUUCCACAGGGAUGCUGGUCCAUGUUGACUCUACAAGGUGUUGAAAGCGUUCCACAGGGAUGCUGGCCCAUGUUGACUCUACAAGGUGUCUAAAGCGUUCCACAGGGAUGCUGGUCCAUGUUGACUCUACAAGGUGUUGAAAGCGUUCCACAGGGAUGCUGGUCCAUGUUGACUCUACAAGGUGUUGAAAGCGUUCCACAGGGAUGCUGGCCCGUGUUGACUCUACAAGGUGUUGAAAGCGUUCCACAGGGAUGCUGGCCCGUGUUGACUCUACAAGGUGUUGAAAGCGUUCCACAGGGAUGCUGGCCCAUGUUGACUCUACAAGGUGUUGAAAGCGUUCCACAGGGAUG